UCAACGGCGAGGAUCGCCGCAUGCAACUACCGUCUCCGUCGCGGCGGAAAUCGAGACUCGUGUCGGAGAAGCUUCGCUCAAAGACCUGAUUAAUCGAUUUUGAACGGUUCUUAUCAGAAACGCAUCGGGAAGCCGUCCGUCUCAUCCUGAGGCUCCGGCCUCCGUUUCCCACCGGAGUCGGAACUCUUCUCCGGUGAGUCGAAUUUGACAUUUUGGUUGAAUUUGACAUUUUGGUGAGGAGAAGGAGGAAGAUGAAUGAAAUUGAGAGGUGUUUGUGGUUUUGCUUGGCAAAGAAGCGAAGUUAUUAGUCGACUCAUAAGUCUGAUAAAGAGGCGCGUGUGUGCAUGACUUCUCUUACUCCAUACGCACUCACCUUCACGCGUAACGCACUUGGUUUCCAGUUUCUACCGAGUAUCAUACAGUACAAGUUAACAACACCAUAUAUCAUAUCCUUUGUAUUACAUUAAAUUUUAUUUAUUUAUUUUCAUGAUGAAACGAAAGUUGUACUUUAUUAUUUCAAAUGUAACGCCACGUUUUGUGAUGUAAUACAAUUCUAUUACUUUAAUAUCAUUGGAUAAUAAACAGUUUAUUUCAA